rnacentral:tRNA from 3 species
GCCUCCGUAGCUCAAUGGAUAGAGCAGCGGGUUUCUACCCCGUCGGUUGGGAGUUCGAGUCUCUCCGGGGGCGCCA